rnacentral:lncRNA from 1 species
GUUGGCAAAGUAAUGUCUCUGCUUUUUAAUAUGCUGUCUAGUUUGGUCAUAGGUUUUCUUCCAAGGAGCAAGCGUCUUCUAAUUUCAUGGCUGCAGUCACUAUCUGUAGUGAUUUUGGAGUCCAAGAAAAUAGGAACCGACUCUCAUUGCCAGGCCUUAGAUUCAUAUCCUCUUUGAGCCUUUUGGGAUGGUCGUCAGAGUCGGUCCCUCUUUCCCCAGCAGCCUCAUUGCCUUCGUGCAGCCCACACAUGCUUGUUCAGCCUCUGGGUAUGAGGUUUUACACUGAGCCAGGGGACCAGAUGAGGGAAGACAGCAGAAGCCCUGCUUCAUGGAGCUGCCAUCUUCCAGAAGGGACGUGGGGAUUAAACAUGUUACACGUAUCUCUCUGUCUAGUUCUUAGAUGUCCUCCUACCACAUCUUAUGGUUACUUUGAUUAUUUGUUUUUUAAAAAAAGCAAUUUUUGUUGGGGAGGGGUUUACCAUUUGACAGAGACUGAGUUAGGCACUAAAAAUGAAUGUGUGUGUGUGUGCGCGCGCUCAGUCAUGUCUGACUCUUUGCAACCCCAUGGACUGCCAGGCUCCUCUGUCUGUGGAAUUUUCCAGGCAGGAAUACUGGAAAGGGUUGCCAUUUCCUACUCCAGGGGCUCUUCCUGACCUAGGAAUCGAACCUGUGUCUCAUGCGUCUUCUGUAUUGGUGGGCAGAUUCUUUACCACUACACCACCUGGGAAGCUUCCCCCCACCCAAAAAAAAAAAAAAAAAAACCAUGAAUAGACAAUCAGAGUUAAUUUUAAAGGACUCAUGGACUCACAAUAUACUGAGUCCUGAAGUGGUGGAGGCGGACAUGACAAUGAAAAUUGCAGUAAACCGGGAUGUGUGCUAUGACAGAGGUGGAGGGAUGAACUUUUGGGCUGAAGAACAAGGAGGAAGAAAUCAGAGAAGGCAUCAUGGAAGAACUGACAAAUGCCGGUGGAUGAGGAGGAAUUCACCAGAAGCAGGGCUGAGACGGAACAGCAUUUGGGGGGAGGAAAGAGUCCAUGCCUUGUCUAUGGAGACCAAAGAGCCGCUACUGAUGAGACAGUAUGACAUCUGGGAAAGUGACCAGGCUUUUUAAAUGCCUCAACUUCCCAUGUUCCUUUCCAACCCAGUUCAGUCCAAUCCUGAGGCAUCUUUUAAGAGCUGGCCAGGUGCAAGGCAUUGGGGAAGAUGCAGAGAAGCACAAAGUAAACUCCAGUCCUUAUGGAGCUCUAAGUCUAGCCAGGAAGGUAGGCAGACAUGGAAAGGAGGCAAGAGCCAAAGAUCUGAUUUAUGUUCAGGGUGUCACGAGAUGAUCACUGAGCACACAGGCUGUGGAUUUUUGCCUGAUUCACUUGGUAAGGAAAGACCAAAUCUCUUUAGACAGUGAUCAGGUCAUUCAUUCGUUCACUCAGUCACCCAACAAAGAUCUGCUGAGUACUUGCAUUAUGUCCCUGGCAUAGUUCAGUUAUCUGGGAGAGAGGUGAACAGGAAAGGUGAGGUUCCUGCUUUCAUGAACUUACAGCAUAUUCACCCCAAAUAUGGUGAACAGAUGAGUAAAGACCUUUCCAGCUGGUGACAGGGCUUCGAGGAAAGACAACAGGUUGGUGGACCAGCAGAGGGUAGAGGCAGUAGGGUGAG